GAUGAAGAACGCAGCGAAAUGCGAUAAGUAAUGUGAAUUGCAGAAUUCAGUGAAUCAUCGAAUCUUUGAACGCACAUUGCGCCCCUUGGUAUUCCGAGGGGCAUGCCUGUUCGAGCGUCAUUAUAACCCCUCAAGCUCAGCUUGGUGUUGGGGCCUGCUGCACUGGCAGCCCUUAAAAUCAGUGGCGGCGCCAUCUGGCUCUAAGCGUAGUAAUUCUUCUCGCUAUGGAGUCCUGGUGGAUGCUUGCCAUCAACCCCCAAUUUUUCUAUGGUUGACCUCGGAUCAGGUAGGGAUACCCGCUGAACUUAAGCAUCUCAAUAAGCGGAGGA
rnacentral:misc_RNA from 1 species